rnacentral:rRNA from 1 species
UACGUAGGUCCCGAGCGUUGUCCGGAUUUAUUGGGCGUAAAGCGAGCGCAGGUGGUUUAUUAAGUCUGGUGUAAAAGGCAGUGGCUCAACCAUUGUAUGCAUUGGAAACUGGUAGACUUAAGUGCAGGAGAGGAGAGUGGAAUUCCAUGUGUAGCGGUGAAAUGCGUAGAUAUAUGGAGGAACACCGGUGGCGAAAGCGGCUCUCUGGCCUGUAACUGACGCUGAGGCUCGAAAGCGUGGGGAGCAAACAGG